UACGUAGGUGGCAAGCGUUGUCCGGAUUUAUUGGGUUUAAAGGGUGCGUAGGCGGCUUGAUAAGUCAGUGGUGAAAGCCGGAUCGCUAACGAUCGAACUGCCAUUGAUACUGCCAGGCUUGAGUAUAGUUGAGGUAGGCGGAAUUGACAGUGUAGCGGUGAAAUGCAUAGAUAUUGUCAAGAACACCAAUUGCGAAGGCAGCUUACUAAAGUAUAAACUGACGCUGAGGCAACGGAAAGUGCGGGGAUCAAACAGG
rnacentral:rRNA from 1 species